rnacentral:rRNA from 1 species
ACUCCUACGGGAGGCAGCAGUGGGGAAUAUUGCGCAAUGGGCGAAAGCCUGACGCAGCAACGCCGUGUGAGGGAUGAAGGCUUUCGGGUCGUAAACCUCUGUCGGAAGGGAAGAACGGGCAUUGGUCUAAUAGGCCUUUGUUUUGACGGUACCUUUAGAGGAAGCACCGGCUAACUCCGUGCCAGCAGCCGCGGUAAUACGGAGGGUGCAAGCGUUAUUCGGAAUUACUGGGCGUAAAGCGCACGUAGGCCGUUUUGUAAGUCAGGGGUGAAAUCCCACGGCUCAACCGUGGAACUGCCUUUGAAACUGCAGAACUUGAAUCCUGGAGAGGGUGGCGGAAUUCCUGGUGUAGGAGUGAAAUCCGUAGAUAUCAGGAGGAACACCGGUGGCGAAGGCGGCCACCUGGACAGGUAUUGACGCUGAGGUGCGAAAGUGUGGGGAGCAAACAGGAUUAGAUACCCUGGUAGUC